rnacentral:rRNA from 1 species
UACGGGGGGAGCAAGCGUUGUUCGGAUUUACUGGGCGUAAAGGGCGCGUAGGCGGUCAGCACAAGUCAGUUGUGAAAUCUCCGGGCUUAACUCGGAAAGGUCAACUGAUACUGUGCGACUAGAGUGCGGAAGGGGCAACUGGAAUUCUCGGUGUAGCGGUGAAAUGCGUAAAUAUCGAGAGGAACACCUGCGGCGAAGGCGGGUUGCUGGGCCGACACUGACGCUGAUGCGCGAAAGCCAGGGGAGCGAACGGG